rnacentral:rRNA from 1 species
UGGGGAAUAUUGGACAAUGGGCGCAAGCCUGAUCCAGCCAUGCCGCGUGUGUGAAGAAGGCUUUCGGGUUGUAAAGCACUUUCAGUGGGGAAGAAGGCCUGGCGGUCAAUACCCGCCAGGGACGACAUCACCCACAGAAGAAGCACCGGCUAACUCCGUGCCAGCAGCCGCGGUAAUACGGAGGGUGCGAGCGUUAAUCGGAAUUACUGGGCGUAAAGCGCGCGUAGGCGGCCAAGUAAGCCGGUUGUGAAAGCCCCGGGCUCAACCUGGGAAUGGCAUCCGGAACUGGUUGGCUAGAGUGCAGGAGAGGAAGGUAGAAUUCCCGGUGUAGCGGUGAAAUGCGUAGAGAUCGGGAGGAAUACCAGUGGCGAAGGCGGCCUUCUGGACUGACACUGACGCUGAGGUGCGAAAGCAUGGGUAGCAAACAGG